CCACACAUUUCCUUAAAUUCAGGGCCCUGCUCACAUGGGAAAUGCUCUGUGAGAGUCAUGGACAUCCUGUGCAAGAACAUGAAGCACCUGUGGUUCUUCCUCCUCCUGGUGGCAGCUCCCAAAUGGGUCCUGUCCCAGGUGCAGCUGCAGGAGUCGGGCCCAGCAGUGGUGAAGCCUUCGGAGACCCUGUCCCUCACCUGCGCUGUCUCUGGUGGCUCUAUCAGCGAUGGUUACUACUGGAGCUGGAUCCGCCAGCCCCCAGGGAAGGGACUGGAGUGGAUUGGGUAUAUCUAUGGUAGUGGUGGGAGCACCUACUACAACCCGUCCCUCAAGAGUCGAGUCACCAUUUCAACAGACACGUCCAAGAACCAGUUCUCCCUGAAGCUGAGCUCUGUGACCGCCGCGGACACGGCCGUGUAUUACUGUGCGAGAGACACAGUGAGGGGAGCCCAAGAUUCCUGAAGAUAAAGCUGAUGUGAUG